GGCCUGGUGGCGUAACGGUAACGCGCGCAUUUGCAGUCGACUCUCCUCGCAAUAUUGCACUAUACUGCGAGUCCCUCGUUCGAAUCGGGGUCAGGUCG